UAAAUAAAACACACCAAACACCCCACAAGGAGGUGUCUGGUCGUACAAGAAGAACAGGGGGGCGAUCCCCACACAUCAAAACCCUAAAUCUUCACCAAACUUGCAAAUUGAAGGCUCAAUCCAAGUCAAAAUCGAAAAUCAAGCAUAGAUUAUUGAUCCCCAUUGCAAGAGGGUUGUAAGUUUGUCGCCUAACGAGCUAGGUGGAGGCUUGGAAUAGAAGCGGUCAAACGAAUCAAGCACGAGAAGAAAAGCAUAUUCGGAUGCGAGGAAAUAACAUAAGUAUGCGUUGCUUAAACUAGAAAGCUUUAAAGCAAAAGUUAUGUAAACGGGUCAAUACCUUGACCCGAGCCAGGUACACUUUGGGAUGCCGGAAGACGAUCAAGCUCAACGAAGAACCGAACACACUAUAGAUACACGCUUCCGCACUUUGCUAUGUUGUAAAUUUUAAACAACGAAUUCAACCACGUGAUGUAGAAUAACUUAUGAUUUGUAAAAGUUUUUAGUAAACCCGUAUUUCCGAUGUAUAUAUAAUCAUUAAUUACAUGAUUAUUUUCGCAAAAUAUACGUUAAGCCUUGAUUUAUAAGAACGGGUCUUACAAGUUGGUAUCAGAGCUCAAGGUUGUUGACAAAAUGUGUUCGGUUCGAGGCUUGAUCGCAAAUCCGGUAAGUACAUGUAUAUUAAUGGUUUGGUAUGUGUUGAAAUGUUGUGAACAACACAUAGGGUUAUCGUGUGAUACACGUUACCCCAAUUAAAAUGAUUGAUAUAGUUGACGAAAAUACGUGCGUUGACGCGUAUAGUAGA